rnacentral:rRNA from 1 species
CAGCCGCCACGGUAAUGCGAAGGGUGCAAGCGUUAAUCGGAAUUACUGGGCGUAAAGCGUGCGUAGGCGGUUUGUUAAGUCUGUUGUGAAAUCCCCGGGCUCAACCUGGGAAUGGCAAUGGAUACUGGCAAGCUAGAGUGUGUCAGAGGAUGGUGGAAUUCCCGGUGUAGCGGUGAAAUGCGUAGAGAUCGGGAGGAACAUCAGUGGCGAAGGCGGCCAUCUGGGACAACACUGACGCUGAGGCACGAAAGCGUGGGGAGCAAACAGGAUUAGAUACCCCUGUAGUCCCUGUCUCUUAUAC